AGCAGCAGCCGCGGUAAUACGAAGGGUGCAAGCGUUACUCGGGAUUACUGGGUUUAAAGGGUGCGUAGGCGGAUUCUUAAGUCCGUGGUGAAAUCUCCAAGCUUAACUUGGAAACUGCCAUGGAUACUAUUAGUCUUGAAUGUUGUGGAGGUUAGCGGAAUAUGUCAUGUAGCGGUGAAAUGCAUAGAUAUGACAUAGAACACCAAUUGCGAAGGCAGCUGGCUACACAAAUAUUGACGCUGAGGCACGAAAGCGUGGGGAUCAAACAGGAUUAGAUACCCGGGUAGUCCCUGUCUCUUAUAC
rnacentral:rRNA from 1 species